CCUUUGACCACAUGGCCCGUCAGGAUGAUGAGAAGAGAAGGCAGGAACUUGAAGAGAAAAUCAGAAGAAAGGAAGAGGAAGAGGCCAAGACUGUGUCAGCUGCUGCAGCUGAGAAGGAGCCAGUCCCAGUUCCAGUCCAGGAAAUAGAGAUUGACUCCACCACAGAAUUGGAUGGGCAUCAGGAAGCAGAGAAAGUGCAGCCUCCAGGCCCUGUGAAGGAAAUGGCCCAUGGCUCACAGGAGGCAGAAGCUCCAGGAGCAGUUGCUGGUGCUGCUGAAGUCCCUAGGGAACCACCAAUUCUUCCCAGGAGCACUGCUAGGAUUUGCUCAUCAUGCCUGAGGUAUAAUGGACACCUGAAAUGACAGUCUGUUUUAGGUGACUGGAUUCACAUCCUCGCUAUGCCGCUUCCUGAAUGUAUUACCUUGAACAAGCAGUAUAACCUUUCUGUGUCUCAGUUUUCUUCUCUAUAAAAUGUAGGUGAUAAUAAU
rnacentral:sRNA from 1 species